UGGCCUGUGAGGGCGUCUUCUCAGCUUUCCUCUACGUUUUGGUGUGGCUCGCUCUGUUUUGAGCCAGAUGCACAACAAAUAAUACAAAGCUUUGUAAGAGCCUGGAAAUUAUAGAGUUGAGGACACAGGAACAGUGUCUCACUGAAGAUGAAAUAUGACUGAAGGGUCUUCUAUUGCUCCAGCUUCCAGAAGUGCUAAAUGACAGUCCUCAGGUGUCAGCCCUCCCCAGAAAUUGUCCCUGGCUAAAGAGUCACCUUGUCCAUGGUCAGAGCUGCUUCCAAGAGACUCCCUAAUUAGCUCAGGCUCUGGCCCAGAGGACUGCAUGGCUGUAUUUAACCACCUGGGAAGUGGCUCUGGAAAGAUGCUGGCUCAGCGUAAGCAACUGGGUUGUAUCCUGGCUGCCUUUUGGGUGAG